ensembl:rRNA 5S_rRNA 5S ribosomal RNA
AUUUGGGUAACACCCUGGACACACCCAACCCCAUCUGAUAUGAAAAGCUUUGCGGUGUUGGUCCUGGUUGGUCCUUGAAUAGGAGACUGUCCAGGACUUCCAGGUGCUGUAGGUU